UCAUAGUUAGCGCCCUACCACCGAGACCAGAGAUAGCGGUACCCCGAGUCGGUUACUUACGGAUGUAAAGAAUGAAAAGAAUCAAGUUGUAAUAAGCAUGUUAAAUCAGAUUGUAUUUGGAAGUUAAGUGAAAGCUAAUGUAAGAAUCUAAUGAGAUUUGUGAUGUAAAAAUGUAUGAAUGUGAAUGCAUGUAAUAACAUAGGAUGUGUUAUGUUGUUUGAUACCUUCCAUUAUGCAAUCUUGAUUAAAAUGUGUUCCUAGUUGGAACUUCGCACAUUGUAUUGAUUGCUAUGCCUUGAACGUACAGGGGAGACUCUAUCCGCAGUACAGGAGAAAUCCUGUACGUUCGGCGAUCUGUUGGCGGCGCCGCGACCCGGCCAAAUAGGCGGGUGGUCGCGGGGCGUGACAGAUAAGAUGGUAUCAGAGCAUAAAAAGAAAUAUAAAAAGAAUAAUAGAAAAUGCUUUAGUUGGACCUAGGAAACCCUAGGAUAUCAAACCAUAGGAGAUUAAGGUUCGUGAGAGACGAGGACUUGUAACUAUUGGCGAAAAAUAAAUUGAUUGGGUUAUAUUGUAAAUCUCUAAAACGGAUGUUAGAGGUAGAUU
rnacentral:lncRNA from 1 species